GGCCAGAUGGUGUAGCGGUAACACUACCCAAAUCACAUUGUGAGCUUCGGGUUGACGCAGGUUCGAAUCCCGCUUUGGCUG